GAUGAACGCUGGCGGCGUGCCUAAUACAUGCAAGUCGAGCGAACAGACGAGGAUCUUGCUCCUCUGACGUUAGCGGCGGACGGGUGAGUAACACGUGGAUUACCUACCUAUCUUCCUGGCAUAACUUCGGGACACCGGAGCUAAUACCGCCUAAUAUAUUCAACCGCAUGGUUCAAUAGUGAAAGACGGUUUUGCUGUCACUUAUAGAUGGAUCCGCGCCGCAUUAGCUAGUUGGUAAGGUAACGGCUUACCAAGGCAACGAUGCGUAGCCGACCGGAGGGGGUGAUAGGCCACACUGGACCGGAGACACGGCACAGACCAGAACGGGAGGCAGGAGAGGGGAAACGUACGCAAGGGAAGAAAGGCUGACGGAGAACAGCCAAGUGAGUGAUGAAGGGCUUCGGAUAGUAAUACUCUGCUAUUAGGGAGGAACAAAUGUGUAAGUAACGAGGCACGUCUUGAAGGUACCUAAUCAGAAAGCAACGGCUAACUACGUG
rnacentral:rRNA from 1 species